CAAUAGCGUAUAUUUAAGUUGUUGCAGUUAAAAAGCUCGUAGUUGGAUUUCGGUUAAGAGCGACCGGUCCGCCGUUUGGUGUGCACUGGUUGGUUUUAACUUCCUGUAGAGGACGUGCUCUGGGGUUAACGACCUGGACUCGGAGUCUACGUGGUUACUUUGAAAAAAUUAGAGUGUUCAAAGCGGGCUUACGCUUGAAUAUUUCAGCAUGGAAUAACACUAUAGGACUCCUGUCCUAUUUCGUUGGUCUCGGGACGGGAGUAAUGAUUAAGAGGAACAGUUGGGGGCAUUCGUAUUUCAUUGUCAGAGGUGAAAUUCUUGGAUUUAUGAAAGACGAACUUCUGCGAAAGCAUUUGCCAAGGAUGUUUUCAUUAA
rnacentral:rRNA from 1 species